AGGAUAAUAGUUUAAUAAUAACAUUUAACUUGCACUUAAAAAAUAUUGGUUUUAAAUCAAUUUAUCUU
rnacentral:tRNA from 1 species